rnacentral:rRNA from 1 species
UACGAAGGGGGCUAGCGUUGCUCGGAAUCACUGGGCGUAAAGGGUGCGUAGGCGGCCAACUAAGUCGGAUGUGAAAUCCCCAGGCUUAACCUGGGAACUGCAUCCGAUACUGGAUGGCUUGAAUCCGGGAGAGGGAUGCAGAAUUCCAGGUGUAGCGGUGAAAUGCGUAGAUAUCUGGAGGAAUACCGGUGGCGAAGGCGGCAUCCUGGACCGGCAUUGACGCUGAUGAGCGAAAGCUAGGGGAGCAAACGGG